rnacentral:rRNA from 1 species
UUGAACGCUGGCGGCAGGCCUAACCCAUGCCAGUCGAACGGUAACAGGAAACAGCUUGCUGUUUCGCUGACGAGUGGCGGACGGGUGAGUAAUGUCUGGGAAACUGCCUGAUGGAGGGGGAUAACUACUGGAAACGGUAGCUAAUACCGCAUAACGUCGCAAGACCCAAGAGGGGGACCUUCGGGCCUCUUGCCAUCGGAUGUGCCCAGAUGGGAUUAGCUAGUAGGUGGGGUAACGGCUCACCUAGGCGACGAUCCCUAGCUGGUCUGAGAGGAUGACCAGCCACACUGGAACUGAGACACGGUCCAGACUCCUACGGGAGGCAGCAGUGGGGAAUAUUGCACAAUGGGCGCAAGCCUGAUGCAGCCAUGCCGCGUGUAUGAAGAAGGCCUUCGGGUUGUAAAGUACUUUCAGCGGGGAGGAAGGGAGUAAAGUUAAUACCUUUACUCAUUGACGUUACCCGCAGAAGAGGCACCGGCUAACUCCGUG